UGAGUCGGCCAGGCGGUCGCGUCGGAUCCCUCGGGGUCCGCCGAGGAACGUCCGGGCUCCACAGGGCAGGGUGGUGGCCAACAGCCACCCGGGGUGACCCGCGGGACAGUGCCACAGAAAACAAACCGCCAACUGCUUCGGCAGUCGGUAAGGGUGAAACGGUGGUGUAAGAGACCACCAGCGCGCCAGGUGACUGGAGCGGCUCGGUAAACCCCACCCGGAGCAAGCCCAGACAGCGCACGUUCGAGACCGGCCCGGUCGAGUGCGCGGGUAGGGCGCUGGAGCCGGUCAGCAAUGGCCGGCCGAGAUGGAUGGCCGUCGCCGCGUCACCGGCAACGGAGAUGCGGAACAGAACCCGGCGUAUCGGCCGACUCAUCCA
rnacentral:RNase_P_RNA from 2 species